rnacentral:rRNA from 1 species
UUUUAUUUUGAUAUUAUUUUUUAUUGUUGAAAAAAUUAAUAAUAAUUUAUUGUUAAUAAAAAUUAAAAUUUAUAAUAUUUUUAUUUUUAUUUUUUAGUUUUAAAUAAAAAAAAUAAAAUUAAUAUAUAUAAAAAUUUUGUUAUAAAUUAUAAUAGUUUAUUUAUUUAUUUUUUUAUAAUAAAUAAUAGUAUUUUUUUUAUUAUUUUAUAAAAAAAAAUAAUUUAAUUAUAAUUAUUAAAAGUAAAUUUGUUAUUUAGAAUAAUAUAUUAAUAUAAAUAACAAAAAUAUUAAAUAUUUUUUAAAUUUUUUGGGGAUUUAAGUUAUAAUUUUUUGUGUCUGCUCAGUGAAUUUAAAUAGCACUUUUAGCGUGAUUGGCCAAAGGGUAAAAAAAACC